CUUUCCAAAGAGGUUCUCGUCCAGGUCGCGUCGCUUGAGCGAUCACAUGCGAUCUGGAGCGCCCUAGGGAACAUGUUCUCUGCUGUCUCCCUCUCUCGCACCAACAACAUCCGAGCCGCUCUCACCAACGCACAGAAGGCGUUUCAAUCCGCCUCAGCGUACUUCGGCCACAUGCGCUCGCUCUCUGAUGAACUCGCGGCGGCGGGCAAACCCAUCAGAGAGCCAGAGCUCAUCUCCUUCAUCAAUGCGGGCCUCGACAUGGAAUAUCAGCCGAUCGUCUCUGCGCUGGACGUCCGCACCGAGCCAAUCACCAUUGACAUCCUCUUCUCCAUGGUGGCGAACUUCGACCAGCGGGUCGAGAUGUUCCACGGCAACGGCGGCGCCUUCAAGUCAUCGGCAAACAUUGCUUCUCGCAGCCGAGGCAACAAGGGCAACUACCGCAACCAGAAGGGCAACAGCGGUGGCUCCCGUGGCGGCGGUGGCUACGGUGGCGACGGGGGCUACGGUGGCACCAGCCACGGCAAUGGAGGCGGCGGCUACAACAGUGGUGGCGGCUACCACCAGAACAACAACCAAGGCGGCGGCUGGGGCUAUCAUGGUGGUGGUGGCGGCUACCAUCACCAGGGCCCCCCAAAUGGCAACAACAACACUCGGCGCCCCCCCCCCCCAGCAACAACAACAGGGGGCGCAACUUCCAAGGCUAUGAGGACUACGAGGGUAAAUGUCAAAUUUGCAAGAAAACAAAUCACAUAG
rnacentral:rRNA from 1 species